CACGUAGGGGACGAGCGUUGUCCGGAUUCAUUGGGCGUAAAGCGCGCGUAGGCGGCUCGGAAAGUCGGGCGUGAAAGUCCAGGGCUCAACCCUGGAAUGCCGGUGGAUACUGUCGAGCUCGAGUCCGGAAGAGGCGAGUGGAAUUCCUGGUGUAGCGGUGAAAUGCGCAGAUAUCAGGAGGAACACCAAUGGCGAAGGCAGCUCGCUGGGACGGUACUGACGCUGAGACGCGAAAGCGUGGGGAGCAAACAGG
rnacentral:rRNA from 1 species